CAUCUGAAAAGUUUCUAGUUACUACUGUUGAGGAAUACUUUUGAUCAGUCAUUGUUCCCUUUCUUAUAAUGCAGAGAAUACGAGAAGAAUAUGAUCUUUUUCAAUCUGUUUUUUUCUUUCUUUUUGUUUGUUUAUUUGUUUAUUUUAUUUUUAAUCAUUUUAAAAUAAGCAACGGAUAACCAUUGGUGGCACGGUUUUGUUGUAAUGGUGUCUCUUAAAUACCGUUCAUGAAAUCAUUUUUUGUUGGUGUUUGCAGGGUGUUCUUUAAAAUUAUAAUGAUUCCUGUUUCUGUCAAUAGCCAAGUUUUAUUCCAACUUUCUUAGUUCAAUUUUUUUUUCUUCAUAUUGAUACCAGUAAGCUUCUUACAGGUUGAGGAUAUUGCUUAAUAAAUAGAUUGAGUGACCCAUGGUGUGGGAAUAGUUCUUGUGGAUUCUUUGCUAGUUGGAAAGUGCCUUGCAUAGCCUGUAAAGAUGAAUUUAACAACAUAUAUUUCAUCAGAUAGCAUCUCAGUAUUCUAAUGAUCGUAUGAGCUUGUUUGAUUUUUAAUUGUCUUGUCAGUUAUCACCUGUGGGUCGUGGGAUGAAAGCGAACUCAAUAGCGUACCCUUCCUGUUUCAUCAUUCAGAACUUGAAGCUUUAUGUAAAGGGAAAUGGAUGCCUCCUUCUCCACUCCAUUUCUCCUGAUGGCCUCAUUUGCAACUCAAGGUUUGUAUUCAAAGUUGCUGUGAGGCAGUUAAAUAUUCACCAGACACCAACAAAAUGGUCACUAUGUUUUCUUUUGGUUUUCUUCAAUUAUUUUCCCCUGUACAUAAUUUGAUGGAUCUUGAUCACCGUAUAAUCUCAAUGUAGUUUUCAGUAUGCCAGCUCUGUUAAUUAUCUUUGUGUCGUUCUGAGAGUACAAGUUGAUGCUGCUCAUAGAUGAAGUUGCUUUCUCUUGUUUAUGGAAUUCCUAGCUGCCUGUAUUUACUUGCUUUGCUGCUGAGACACUUUGUAUCUUCAUCUGAUGUUCUAAAUGAAGUUUUAGCGAUUGAUCAUGGGAUAUAUGAAUUAGUCCAAGCUGAAUAGAUGAAAGCUAAAACACUGCAGUUAUGGUGUCAUAAAAGUUGUGUGCUUAGCAUAAAAUGGUUUCUCUAGGUUUUGUUUUUCCUCUUGCCAUGUAUGCUGAUCACAGCUUUGAUAUUUAGGUGAGCUAUUUGCCAGAUUUUUCUUCUGCAUCUAGAUGUCAAAUGCAUAUUGACAUGUCAGAAGGGCUGUGACAAACUCAGUUUGAAGUAGAUUCAGGACGGACACAGGACAUUUACUUCCCUGCUAAGAAGCAAUGUAUAGCUGGCAUUUAGCCAUAAGGAAACAGAUAGUGGUCUGUGUAAAGUGUGCCAUUUCGAUUUUGUUGAUAAUCAUAUUUUAUAUAGAAGAAGAUGUCCUCUGUUGAUAACUUUGUAUGAAAGCUAUUCAAGUCAACCGAGUACAUCAAUAAUGGACGGUUUCUACA